rnacentral:SRP_RNA from 1 species
GCUGGGCGUGGUGGCGGGUGCCUGUAAUCCCAGCUACUUGGGAGGCUGAGGCAGGAGAAUUGCUUGAACCUAGGAGGCAGAGGUUGCAGUGAGCUGAGAUCACGCCACUGCACUCCAGCCUGGGUGACAGAGCAAGACUCUGUCUUGA